rnacentral:snRNA from 1 species
GUGCUCGCUUCGGCAGCACCUAUACUAAAAUUGGAAAGAUACAGAGAAGAUUAGCAUGGCCCCUGUGCAAGGAUGACACGCAAAUUUGUGAAGCGUUCCAUAUUUUU